rnacentral:rRNA from 1 species
UACGUAGGUGGCAAGCGUUGUCCGGAUUUACUGGGCGUAAAGAGCGCGCAGGCGGUCGUUCAAGUCGCGUGUGAAAGCCCCCGGCUCAACUGGGGAGGGUCACGCGAUACUGAUCGACUCGAAGGCAGGAGAGGGUAGUGGAAUUCCCGGUGUAGUGGUGAAAUGCGUAGAUAUCGGGAGGAACACCAGUGGCGAAGGCUACUACCUGGCCUGUUCUUGACGCUGAGGCGCGAAAGCUAGGGGAGCAAACGGG